rnacentral:lncRNA from 1 species
AGUACUUAACCACAAGACAACGACGAUGCCUCAGGUCAAAGGACUACUUACAUUAUUCCAAGCAUUAGAGUUACUUGCUUGACAUGUGAGUAGACCUCCAUGCAAGUACUCUCGUUCGAUUGUGUUCAGUGAACUCAUUCUCUUAAUGAGCACCUACAUGCUUGUCUUAGUGUCACAACAUGAAUGGGAUGAGACUUUCCAUCCUUCCAUUUGAAACAGACACAGUAUGUACAGGUCUAAGCAUUGUCAGUAUCCCUCCGACAAUCCAAUGACCAGGAAUCUUUUUGGACAUUUGGUUAUGUGAAGAAGGUCUCUGUAGUCUAACAUCAUUAGAUUACUUCUUCAAUCGAUCCAUUGUCCAUGGAUACACUAUUUAGGACAUAUAUCGUUUAUUGAGAUAGUCCUAAUUUGUGUCUUUGCCAUUUGAUGUAUAAGAGUCAUCCAUACAUCAAUUCAUUUGUCCUGAAAGGUUUCUUCCAAAGAUUGACUUUCAGGGCAUAUUUCCAACAUCAACUAGGUAUGAAAGUACUUUUGUAUGACUCACAUUUGCGACUUUUUCCAGGUAAAUUGAAGUCUAGAUGGGUUGGACCUUUCAAACUGAUUCAAGUAUUUCCCCAUAAAGCUGUGGAGAUAGAAAACAUCAAGAAUGGCACACGUUUUAAGGUCAAUGGGUAGCGUUUGAAAGCUUAUUUGGAGAAUGUGGCAUAAGAGCAGGUCUAUCUAGUUGUGGAUUCUAUCAAGUUUACAACUUAAACAUGUUGUCUUGUCUUGCCUAGACAUUAAAUAAAGCGCUUGCUAGGAGGCAGCCUAGCUGAGUUUGUGUUCUUUCCUUUUAUUUGUGUUUUUUUUUGUCUUUGUUUUAUUUUCAUUCCAUGUGCUCUCUAUCUAUUCGCAUUGCAUGCAUUCCAUUCAUUUUUAAGCAUUGAGGACAAUGCUUAGUUUAGAUUUGGGGUGUUGGAAAUUGAAAAUUUUCUUUUGAUUUCAAUUUUGGUUAAAGUUUGCUUUUGCUUACUAAUGUGAAUGUAUAUGAUGGCUGUGUAUACAAUUUGACUAUGAUGCUAUCAAGAAAAGUUCCAUAUCAUAAUUUUGUAGUUCACAAAGUUAUUACUCUUGAAUUAUGGUGAUUAAAGUGUCAUGCUCAAAUUCUGGAAGAAGAAUAGUGGAGACUACCCUAGUGAGUUAUUUUGAGCCUAUUUGCUUCUUUGAGAGGGUUUAAAGUGUUUCUCCUCCUACCUUUUUCUUUCAAUUUUACUUUAAAUGUUCUCAUUAUUUCUCUUUGAUUGAAUGCUAAGAAUAAUCCUAUGUUGCAGAUACCAUGUGUUUAUUAUCACCUAUGAAUGAACUCAAUGAGAUGAUGUUAGGCUAUGCAUGUUUUAACCACUAAAAGGCCAAAUUCCCUACCUUUAUGAGUGUUCCAUUACCCCGGUUUGAAGCCAAACACUUGUAGCCUUUUUCUUUUCUCACCACUAUAUUUCCCUACCCUUUCAUCUCAAUCAGAGAUACUUAGCCAUUACAGCCAUACCCUAUAGUUUGGGGAAUACCAAAGUGAUGAAGACAAAGAUAAUGAUUAAGCUCUACAUCAAGAAAAUGGCGUGUACCGAGGUAACACAUGCUGGAAUUGCAAAAUAAAAAGAGAAACAAAAGUUUGAAUAAAAAAAGAAAAGAAAAAAAAUCAAUAAAGAAGAUGCAAUUUCCAAAUCCUUCACUAUCGCAUGUGUGUCCUAGACGCCAAUAACAAACAACGAAGAUCAAUUCAAGAGGAGAGCUUGCUGGUUUCACAACAAAGACACUUUGGUAUGUCCCAGGCUCUAAUAUUUCCUAUCCAUUCUUUCGUAGCCCCUAGCCUAAGCUUUACAUUACAACCUUGUGAAAGACCUAGCUGAUCUUUGGGGAUAUAUUCAUGGGUGUUGGUAAGUAUGUGUGCUAUCCAUAUUCUUAGUGUUUGAUUCCUUUCAUGAGAUAUAUUCAGAAAUUGUGCUGUUAUUUCAUAUUUCAUAUGUGAGAAUUUUGAUUCCCUUUUACAUAACUUCACUCAUAUAUGUUUGAUGAGAGACAAAACCUUAGGAUCUAAGUGAAAAUUUGAGUGACAAUCUGUGAGAAUUAGAGUUGAGGCGAAUUCUAUCUUCUGUCUUUGAGUAUGGUGCUUUUGAAGUCAUGAGUCAUGGAACAAUACUUUUACACUACACACAUGAUAUGAUUCUUUGAAGUGGCAAUGUUUUGUUUGAUGGUAUGACUAAGCAUUCUUUGGUUCUUAUUAGUUUGUUUCAAGUGAGUUUUAACCAAUUUAUUUGUCAAGUCUGUAGAUGUUUGUGAGCGUCAUCGUUGUAAACCCUUAGGAGACACAACUCGUCCGACUAGGGACACCUAGAGGUGUAAAGGCUUGUUGCACAUGCUAAGUGCAAUCGUUUAGCCAGCGAAAGUGGUCUAGCUAGAUUUUUCUUUGUUUUGCUUGUUUUGAGUUUUAGUUUUGCUCGAGGACCAGCGAAACCAGGUUUGGGGGUAUUUGAUAACUCAUAUAUUUCAUAAAUUUAUAUCAUCCAUUCCUAGUCCCUUUGUGAUAUUUUUGAGUUAAACUUGUUGCAUUUUACCUUUUUGUGUUAGUGUGCAACUAAUUGUAUUUCGAAGCUCAGUUAAGGACAGAUAAUGCAAAAUGGUGCUAAAAGUGGAGAAUUGAAUAAAGAUGCUAAUGUAGACAAAGAAUUAAAAGUGGAAACUAAAUAUGGUGAUGAAUAUGGCUCUUUAUAAGACCAAUAACAACAAAAAAAUGUGGGAAUUAAAUGCCCAAUUACUGGGAUGUAUUGGCAAUCGUAACAGCUCUUGAACAUUAUAAAACCUAGCCUUUCAGCCAUUUUUACAUACACCUUUCAUUCUGAGCGAAUUUCACAACUCCAGUCACUAUUUUUCUCUCUUUUCAUCCACACUCAAAACUCCACCUAUUCUAUACAGUCCAACAUCACCAAAGACUUAUCCCAAUAGGCUGUUUUUGGAGAAGUUCAACAUUAGAAUUGCUUUAAGGGUUUCUCUCUCUUUGAUUUAUUUUCACUCAUGUUGUGUAUUUCCAAUUUCAUCUUUGUGAACAUGAUGUGUAACUAAAUUCAUAGCUAGGGAUUUUGAUGUAGCCUUGCGCAAUUGAUCCAUGUUUUUAUGUUAAAAUAUACAAUUCAUCAAUAUGUCUCUUGUUUCAUUCACUGAAUCUUUUGUUAAAUUUUUUGUUGAUUUUAAUGUUUUAAUCACCAUUAGGAUUUCUUAUUGUUGAUGCACAAAAUCAGUGAGGACUUUGGUACAACAGAAAAUGUUAAGUUUGUGACCUUCGCUACAUUGCUCCGGUCACUAGUGUGAAUAAGUAUGUAAAUGGAUAGGGACAGGGAAGCAAACACAAGAUGUACGUGGUUCACCCAGAUUGGCUACGUCCAUGGAGUAGAGGAGUUCUCAUUAAUUGUGAAGGGUUUACACAAGUACAUAGGUUCAAGCUCUCCUUUAGUCAGUACUAGUGAAUGAUUUAGUACAAAUGACAUUAGGAAAUAUUGUGAGAAAAUGAUCUCUAUUUAUAGAAGAGAGUUUCUAGUUUCAUUCUGACAUUGACACGUGUCGUGUUGUGAUUUGGCUUCUGAUGUUAACACGUGUCGCGCUAUGAUUGGCUUCUGAUGUCGACACGUGUCGCGCUGUGAUU